CCUACGGGAGGCAGCAGUGAGGAAUAUUGGGCAAUGGGCGCAAGCCUGACCCAGCAACGCCGCGUGAAGGAAGAAGGCUUUCGGGUUGUAAACUUCUUUUCUCAGGGACGAAGAAAGUGACGGUACCUGAGGAAUAAGCCACGGCUAACUACUGGCCAGCAGCCGCGGUAAUACGUAGGUGGCAAGCGUUCACCGGAUUUACUGGGUGUAAAGGGUGUGGAGGCGGGGAAGCAAGGCAGAUGUUAAAACCACGGGGUCCACCUGUGGCCUGCCUUUGAAACUGUUUUUCUUGAGUACGAGAGAGGCAGGCGGAAUUCCUGGUGUAGCGGUGAAAUGCGUAGAUAUUAGGAGGAACACCAGUGGCGAAGGCGGUCUGCUGGACAGCAACUGACGCUGAGGCGCGAAAGCGUGGGGAGCAAACAGGAUUAGAUACCCGGGUAGUC
rnacentral:rRNA from 1 species